AUACGUAGGUGACAAGCGUUAUCCGGAUUUACUGGGCGUAAAGGGCGUGUAGGCGGUCUUGCAAGUCAGAAGUGAAAUUCCUGAGCUCAACUCGGGCGCUGCUUCUGAAACUGCAGGACUUGAGUGCUGGAGGGGAUAGCGGAAUUCCUAGUGGAGCGGUAAAAUGCGCAGAUAUUAGGAAGAACACCGGUGGCGAAGGCGGCUAUCUGGACAGUAACUGACGCUGAGGCGCGAAAGCGUGGGGAGCAAACAGGAUUAGAUACCCUGGUGGUCCACGCCGUAAACGAUGAAUACUAGGUGUAGGGGGUAUCGACUCCCUCUGUGCCGCAGUUAACACAAUAAGUAUUCCGCCUGGGGAGUACGGCCGCAAGGUUGAAACUCAAAUGAAUUGACGGGG
rnacentral:rRNA from 1 species